GAUAAACGCUGGCGGCGUGCCUAACACAUGCAAGUCGAACGCCCUGUUCUUCUUCGGAGGAAGAGGGAGUGGCGGACGGGUGAGUAACACGUGGGCAAUCUACCCACAGGUGAGGAAUACCGGCGAGAAAUCGCCGACAAUACCGCAUACGCUCUCGUGAGAGAGCAAAGCCUCGCGUAAGCGAAGCGCCUGGGGAUGAGCCUGCGCCCGAUUAGCUGGUUGGUGGGGUAAAAGCCUACCAAGGCGACGAUCGGUAGCUGGUCUGAGAGGAUGAGCA
rnacentral:rRNA from 1 species